rnacentral:rRNA from 1 species
GGGGCCAAGGGAUUUUUUUAGAGUUUUUAACACAGCUCAGGACGAACGCUGGCGGCGUGCCUAAUACAUGCAAGUAGAACGCUGAAGAGAGGAGCUUGCUCUUCUUGGAUGAGUUGCGAACGGGUGAGUAACGCGUAGGUAACCUGCCUUGUAGCGGGGGAUAACUAUUGGAAACGAUAGCUAAUACCGCAUAACAAUGGAUGACACAUGUCAUUUAUUUGAAAGGGGCAAUUGUUCCACUACAAGAUGGACCUGCGUUGUAUUAGCUAGUAGGUGAGGUAAUGGCUCACCUAGGCGACGAUACAUAGCCGACCUGAGAGGGUGAUCGGCCACACUGGGACUGAGACACGGCCCAGACUCCUACGGGAGGCAGCAGUAGGGAAUCUUCGGCAAUGGGGGCAACCCUGACCGAGCAACGCCGCGUGAGUGAAGAAGGUUUUCGGAUCGUAAAGCUCUGUUGUAAGUCAAGAACGGGUGUGAGAGUGGAAAGUUCACACUGUGACGGUAGCUUACCAGAAAGGGACGGCUAACUACGUGCCAGCAGCCGCGGUAAUACGUAGGUCCCGAGCGUUGUCCGGAUUUAUUGGGCGUAAAGCGAGCGCAGGCGGUUUGAUAAGUCUGAAGUUAAAGGCUGUGGCUCAACCAUAGUUCGCUUUGGAAACUGUCAAACUUGAGUGCAGAAGGGGAGAGUGGAAUUCCAUGUGUAGCGGUGAAAUGCGUAGAUAUAUGGAGGAACACCGGUGGCGAAAGCGGCUCUCUGGUCUGUAACUGACGCUGAGGCUCGAAAGCGUGGGGAGCGAACAGGAUUAGAUACCCUGGUAGUCCACGCCGUAAACGAUGAGUGCUAGGUGUUGGAUCCUUUCCGGGAUUCAGUGCCGCAGCUAACGCAUUAAGCACUCCGCCUGGGGAGUACGACCGCAAGGUUGAAACUCAAAGGAAUUGACGGGGGCCCGCACAAGCGGUGGAGCAUGUGGUUUAAUUCGAAGCAACGCGAAGAACCUUACCAGGUCUUGACAUCCCGAUGCUAUUUCUAGAGAUAGAAAGUUACUUCGGUACAUCGGUGACAGGUGGUGCAUGGUUGUCGUCAGCUCGUGUCGUGAGAUGUUGGGUUAAGUCCCGCAACGAGCGCAACCCCUAUUGUUAGUUGCCAUCAUUCAGUUGGGCACUCUAGCGAGACUGCCGGUAAUAAACCGGAGGAAGGUGGGGAUGACGUCAAAUCAUCAUGCCCCUUAUGACCUGGGCUACACACGUGCUACAAUGGUUGGUACAACGAGUUGCGAGUCGGUGACGGCGAGCUAAUCUCUUAAAGCCAAUCUCAGUUCGGAUUGUAGGCUGCAACUCGCCUACAUGAAGUCGGAAUCGCUAGUAAUCGCGGAUCAGCACGCCGCGGUGAAUACGUUCCCGGGCCUUGUACACACCGCCCGUCACACCACGAGAGUUUGUAACACCCGAAGUCGGUGAGGUAACCUUUUGGAGCCAGCCGCCUAAGGUGGGACAGAUGAUUGGGGUGAAGUCUACAAGGGGAAACAAAAGGGGAAUUUAAAGGAGUUUGGUAAUCCAGUAUUUUU